UCACUACUUGCGUAGGCAGUUUCUCUAGAGUCCCCAGCAUGACCUGAUGGCAACUAAAGAUAGGGGUUGCGCUCGUUAUGGGACUUAACCCGACACCUCACGGCACGAGCUGACGACAACCAUGCAGCACCUCGCAAAAUGUCCCGAAGGAAGAUCCGAUUUCUCGAACUGUCAUCUUGCGUUCUAGCCCAGGUAAGGUUCCUCGCGUAUCAUCGAAUUAAACCACAUGCUCCUCCGCUUGUGCGGGCCCCCGUCAAUUCCUUUGAGUUUCAACCUUGCGGCCGUACUCCCCAGGUGGAUCACUUAAUGCUUUCGCUUAGACGCUGACAGUAUAUCGCCAACAUCGAGUGAUCAUCGUUUACAGCGUGGACUAC
rnacentral:misc_RNA from 1 species